rnacentral:rRNA from 1 species
GACGGGGCCGCACAAGCGGUGGAGCAUGUGGUUAAUUCGACGCAACGCGAAGAACCUUACCAGGCUUGACAUCCCCUGACCGCGUAUGAAAGUACGUUUUCACCCUCGGGUGACAGGGAGACAGGUGGUGCAUGGUUGUCGUCAGCUCGUGUCGUGAGAUGUUGGGUUAAGUCCCGCAACGAGCGCAACCCCUACGUUUAGUUGCUAACGCGUGAAGGCGAGCACUCUAGACGAACUGCCGUUGACAAAACGGAGAAAGGUGGGAUGACGUCAAAUCAUCAUGCCCCUUAUGUUCUGGGCUACACACGUGCUACAAUGGCCGGUACAGACGGACGCAAAGCCGCGAGGUGGAGCAAAUCCUAAAAAGCCGGUCUCAGUUCGGAUUGCAGGCUGCAAUUCGCCUGCAUGAAGUCGGAAUCGCUAGUAAUCGCAGGUCAGCAUACUGCGGUGAAUACGUUCCCGGGCCUU